ensembl:lncRNA
AUAUUGGGAUGGGAUUGGGAUUAGGAUGGGAUUGGGGUGAGAUGGGGAUGGGAUGAGACUGGGAUUGGGAUUGGGAUGGGAUUGGGGUUGGGAUGGGAUGAGAUAGGGAUUGGGAUGGGAUUGGGGUUGGGAUGCAAUGAGAUUGGGAUUGGGAUUGGGAUGAGACUGGGGUGGGAUGGGGAUGGGAUGAGAUUGGGAUUGGGAUUAGGAUGGGAUCGGGGUUGGGAGGGGAUGAGAUUGGGAUUGGGAUUAGGAUGGGAUUGGGGUUGGGAUGAGAUUGGGAUUGGGAUUAGGAUUGGGUUGGGAUGAGAUUGGGAUUGGGGUUAGGAUGGGAUUGGGAUUGGAUGAGAUUGCGAUGGGAUGAGAUUGGGAUUGGGAUUAGGAUGAGAUUGGGGUAGGAUGGGAUUGGGAUGGGAUGGGAUUGGGGUUGGGAUGGGACUGGGGUAGGAUGGGGAUGGGAUGAGAUUGGGGUUGGGGUUAGGAUGGGAUCGGGGUUGGGAUGAGAUUGGGAUUGGGAUUAGGAUGGAAUUGGGGUUGGGAUGAGAUUGGGAUUGGGGUUAUGAUGGGAUUGGGGUAGGAUGGGGAUGGGAUGAGAUUGGGAUUGGGAUUAGGAUGGGAUUGGGGUGGGAUGGGGAUGGGAUGAAAUUGGGAUUGGGAUUAGGAUAGGAUUGGGGUUGGAAUGAGAUUGGGAUUGGGAUUAGGAUGGGAUUGGGGUAGGAUGGGGAUUGGGAUUAGGAUGGGAUUGGGGUAGGAUGGGGAUGGGAUUGGGAUUGGGAUUGGGACUAGGAUGGGACUGGGGUAGGAUGGGGAUGGGAUGAGAUUGGGAUUGGGGUUAGGAUGGGAUUGGGGUAGGAUGUGGAUGGGAUGAGAUUGGGAUUGGGAUUAGGAUGGGAUUGGGGUAGGAUGGGAUUGGGAUGGGAUGGGAUUGGGGUUGGGAUGGGAUUGGGGUAGGAUGGGGAUGGGAUUGGGAUUGGGAUUGGGACUAGGAUGGGACUGGGGUAGGAUGGGGAUGGGAUGAGAUUGGGGUUGGGGUUAGGAUGGGAUCGGGGUUGGGAUGAGAUUGGGAUUGGGAUUAGGAUGGAAUUGGGGUUGGGAUGAGAUUGGGAUUGGGGUUAGGAUGGGAUUGGGGUAGAAUGGGGAUGGGAUUGGGAUUGGGAUUGGGAUUAGGAUGGGAUUGGGAUGGGAUGAGAUUGGGAUUGGGAUUAGGAUGGGAUUGGGAUGAGAUUAGGAUUGAGAUUAGGAUGGGAUUGGGAUGGGAUGAGAUUGGGGUUGGGAUGGGAUUGGGAUGGGAUUGGGAUGGAGCUGGGACUGAGAUAUUGGGAUGGGAUUGGGAUUAGGAUGGGAUUGGGGUAGGAUGGGAAUGGGAUUGGGAUGGAAUGAGAUUGGGAUGGGGAUUAGCAUGGGAUUGGGGUUGGGAUGAGAUUGGAAUGACGAUGGGACUGAGAUAUUGGGAUGGGAUUGGGAUUAGGAUGGGAUUGGGGUUGGGACGGGGAUGGGAUGAGAUUGGGAUUGGGAUUAGGAUGGGAUUGGGGUAGAAUGGGAAUGGGAUUGGGAUGGGAUUGGGGUUGGGAUGGGAUUGGAAUGAGGACGGGAUUGGGAUGAGGACGGGAUUGGGAUGGAGCUGGGACUGAGAUAUUGGGAUGGGAUUGGGAUAGGAUGGGGAUGGGAUUGGGAUGGGAUUGGGGUUGGGAUGGGAUGGAGUGGGGGUUGGGACGGAGCCGUCGGGGCCCCCCCUGCAGCCCCCCCAUCCCCACCCCCGGCGGUGACACC